ACACCCUACAAGAGUUGGAACCUGUUCAGUCGGUCUUUUGCAGAGAGUGAACGCUCACCUUUGAAAGGAGGUCCCCUGAGCAGGGUCAGAGUGUUGUGUUCCUGCCAGGUCCCUCUCUGCCUUGCGGAGGACUCAGAAGCCCCUCCUUUCUGUUCACACCCACGAGAGCCCCAUCUGGGUGAAGCAUCCUCCUGCUGGCAUUGCCAUGGCCACCAUGCUCCUCUGCUGUGUGGCCCUGUGUCUCCUGGGAGUAGGGCCCACAGAUGCUGGAGUCACCCAGACCCCUAGGCAUGAGUUAACAGAAAAGGGACAGGCAGUCACUCUGAGCUGUGAGCCGAUUAAAAGCCACGCUGUCCUUUAUUGGUAUAGACAGACCUCAGUGCGGGGACUGGAGUUACUGAUUUAUUUCAACAACCAAGAGCCUGUGGAUGAGUCGGGGAUGCCCAAGGACCGAUUCUCAGCUAAGAUGCCUAACGCAUCGCUCUCCACUCUGAAGAUCCAGUCCACAGAUCCUGGGGACUCGGCCACGUACCUCUGUGCCAGCAGCAAAGACACAGUGCUGCAGAAUCGCCCCUUCCUGAGCAGAAAACCUCUGCUUCCCCUUCCGGCUCACCCCCUGGCGUCAUCAGUUGUCUUCCUAGACUCCUCCCCUAGCAGUGCAGCGCCUCAGUGUUCUAAUGACCCUAGGGAAGGCAGGAACAGAAUGAAACAACCCAUCACAUUAGGAAACACGUGAGGGGAAGGCAGUAGAGAGCUUGGUUUCUGGCAUUUCUCACACAUUUCCCACAGAUGCUGACAGUCCAUUUGUUGUUGUCAUUGUUUGAUCACUCA